ACAAUGUCAGGGUUCAGGGAGAAGGCAAUGGCCCAGCUGAAGAGCAUCUACACUAAUGCAUGCACCAUGAGCAACAAACAGGAGGAGCUGGAAGCCAUUGUGCAGCAGGCUAACUAUGACUUGGUUGCCAUCACUGAAAUAUGGUGGGACCACUCCCAUGACUGGAGUGCUGCAAUGACUGGCUAUAGGCUCUUCAGAAGAGACAGGCAGCACAGAAGGGGUGGUGGUGUGGCUCUCUAUAUUAGAGAGUGUUUUGAUGUCGUGGAACUUGAGACUGAGACUGGGAAUGAUAAGGUUGAGUCCCUAUGGGUUAGGAUCAGCGGGAAGGCCAGCAAGGCAAGCAUCCUGGUGGGGGUCUGUUACAGACCACCAAACCAGGAUGAGGAGACAGAAGAGGAAUUCUACACGCAGCUGGCAAAAGUUGCAAAAUUGUCAGCUCUUGUUCUCGUGGGGGACUUCAACUUCCCAGACAUAUCCUGGAAAUGCAAUACUGCUCAGAGAAAGCAGUCUAGGAGGUUUCUGGAGAGCGUGGAAGAUAGUUUCCUGAUGCAGCUGGUUAGAGAGCCUACCAGGGGAGGUGCCCCACUGGACCUUCUGAUCACAAACAGAGAAGGACUGGUGGGAGAUGUGGUGGUCGGGAGCUGUCUUGGGCAGAGUGACCACGAAAUGGUAGAGUUCUCUAUUUUUGGCGAAGUCAGGAGGGGGACCAGUAAAACUGCUGUCUUGGACUUCCGGAGGGCAGACUGACCUGUUCAGGACACGGGUUGGCAGAGUCCCUUGGGAGGCAGUUCUGAAGGGCAGAGGAGUCCAGGAAGGCUGGGCACUCCUCAGGAAGGAAAUCUUAAUGGCUCAGGAGCGGUCAGUCCCCAUGUGUCCAAAGACGAGUUGGCGCAGAAGAAGACCGGCCUGGCUGAACAGAGAGUUGUGGCUAGACCUUAGGAAAAAAAAAGAGAGUUUAUGAUCUUUGGAAAGGGCGGGCCACUCAGGGGGAUUAUAAGGAUGUU
rnacentral:lncRNA from 1 species